rnacentral:RNase_P_RNA from 1 species
CAAGUAAAUCGCCUUAUCGCUCAAAUUUUAAUUUGGGAGGAAAGUCCGAACACCGUAGUGCAAUAUAGUGGUUAACGGCCACCAGUCGUGAGGCUAGGACAAGUGCAACAGAAAGUAUGUACAGGUAAUGCUGUAGUGAAACCAGGUAAACUCUAUAUGGUGCAAUGCUAUGUAAACCAGCGACCCAUUUGGUAAAGGCUGCACGCUUGAUGCUGGAGGGUAAGCAGCUAAAGUGUAUUGGUAACAGUGCACUCAGAUAAAUGAUAAGGGCUUUUUGUUUUUUAUGGAAUUUUUUAUAAAAAAUAAGACGUACAGAAUUCGGCUUAUAGAUUUACUUGACCA